rnacentral:rRNA from 1 species
UGCAAGUCGAGCGCGGGAAGCGAGUGGAUCCCUUCGGGGUGAAGCUCGUGGAACGAGCGGCGGACGGGUGAGUAACACGUGGGCAACCUGCCUGUAAGAUCGGAAUAACCCCGGGAAACCGGGGCUAAUGCCGGGUAAUACUUUCUUUCGCAUGAAGGAAAGUUGAAAGAUGGCUUCUUGCUAUCACUUACAGAUGGGCCCGCGGCGCAUUAGCUAGUUGGUGAGGUAACGGCUCACCAAGGCGACGAUGCGUAGCCGACCUGAGAGGGUGAUCGGCCACACUGGGACUGAGACACGGCCCAGACUCCUACGGGAGGCAGCAGUAGGGAAUCUUCCGCAAUGGACGAAAGUCUGACGGAGCAACGCCGCGUGAACGAUGAAGGUCUUCGGAUCGUAAAGUUCUGUUGUUAGGGAAGAACAAGUACCGUGCGAAUAGAGCGGUACCUUGACGGUACCUAACGAGGAAGCCCCGGCUAACUACGUGCCAGCAGCCGCGGUAAUACGUAGGGGGCAAGCGUUGUCCGGAAUUAUUGGGCGUAAAGCGCGCGCAGGCGG